rnacentral:lncRNA from 1 species
GCAUUGCGCACCCCAGUCAGACCCGAGAGGCCGUGCCCGGGAGGCGGCGGCGGCUGUGGGCGCGCGCGCGAGGGCCAUGUGUGCUGGAACUUGCGGCGGUGUAUUCCCUACGAGAGGCAAAACAUUUUUACACAUUAAAAAAAAAAGUUCCUUCCUGUUGUCUGGAUCUCGCUGGAGCUAUUUUUAAAGACUCGCUUGCCAUAGGUUGGAUGUCCGAGCCUGGCGGGACGGAGGCCCGCCGGGGCCUGGAGAGUCGGGCUCCCGGGCUUUCGCAGCGCCCUUCCACCACCCGAACCCACCUGGUCUUGACGUCCUGCGAUUGAAGUCUGGACGGCAAACGCGGAGCGGGGCCUAGCACCUGGACUGGAUUCCGUGCCGUGACCCGUGACAUCCGAGCGCGUCUCCGGAAGGGAGCCGGUGGCUGCGGACGGGAAGGCUGGGAUCCCUGUGCUUCAGGGAGCCCAAAUUCUCAUCUCACUUCCCUGAAUCCCAGCAGGCAUCCUCCAAGACCCUUUGGGAAUGAGCAGUGCCCAUAAGCUCGAUGUACUUAAAACCAUAUUGAGUUGUUAGGAACUGGAUUGAGAUGUAGAGAAAGAAAAGCUCGGGGAGGGGCCUGAGGUCGAGCUUUUGAAGGCCGAAGAAACGCCCAUUCCGUGAGCUGAGACUCUUGGUGUGGCCUCGGUUCUGGAGAGCCCCAGGCCCUAUCAGGCCCAGAAAUUUACAGCCUGGGGCGUGGUGGGGCAGGGAGAGGCCACCCAGCUGAACCCCUUUUGCGUCCUAAAAAGCGCAGCAGGAGGCCUCUCAGUAUUUAUCUCUGCCUGUUGGCUAAAGUGCACCCAGAUGUGGCCUGCCUGACGGGUAAUGCAGGGCCCGUGGCUUCUAUGAUUGUUUUAUACUCAAACAUUUUAAAAUUCGAUUGACGAUCUCCCUCCUAUGACGGCAUCGCGAGCCCCGGCCUUUCUCACCGCUGGCAGCUACCCCGGGAACAGACCAGCUAUGCGACUCAAAGGUCUACGGUUAUUCGUGAGAGAAUUCCCAGAUGUGUGUUUCCAGUUGUCUCCAUCUUUUUUGCGACCCUGAGUUCCCACAGACUUAUCUUCAGGGCCCUCCUUUCCCCAUCGGCUUUGCCUCAAGGUCAUGGUGCCUAAACACUUGGGUAUAAACAUCCCAUUCACCCCAAGACUACUAGGAUAUCUGUUCCGGCUUUUCGGAGUUUCUCGGGCAUAAACUAUAAUAACUAUACGUAUAUAUUUUUCUGGUUUUUUUAUUUCACAGAAGAUCUUUGGUUCCGAGUGGUUGUCUGUCCUUAUGGAGAAAGUAAAAAAGUUAUCCAUAUGAUUUGUUCAAUUUUCACGCCUUCUAGAGUUUGAAAUCUGCCUGUGAAAAUACAGCCUUUGUUUUGAGAACAUUGUAAAGAAGACAUCGUCAAAGCUGAAAAUUCUUCUUGCUUAAGCUUGACACCCUGCAUUUUAAAAUGUAGAGCUCAGUUGCCACCAACAUGUGAACAUUUCCAACCUCUACUUUCUUUUUUAAGAUGUUCAAAAUCCCAAAUAAAAAAUUAGGUGAUAUACAAAUGGCCAGUAAGCGCAUGAAAAGAUAUUUAGCAUCACUAGUAAUUAGGGAAAUGCAAAUCAAAACCAUAAUAAGGUACCGCUUUAUGUCCACUUGGAUGGCUAUUAUGGACAAAACAGGAAAAAACAAUUGUGGAUGAAGAUGUGGAGAAAUGCAAACUUGUGUGCUGCUGGUCGGAAAGUAAAAUGGUAUAGCCACUGUGGAAAGCAUUCUGGCAGUACCUCCAAAAGUUAAACAAAAUUGCCAUGUGAUCCAGCAAUUCCAUUGCUGAAUAUGUGCCCAAAAAAUGGAAAGUUGAGACUCAAAUGGAUAUAUCUGCCCCCAUGUUCAUAGCAACUUUAUUCACAACAGCCACAAGGUGGAAACAACCCAUGUAUCUAUCAAAAGCCAGAUGUGGUGGUGCACAUCUGUAAUCCCAGCACUCAAGAGGCUGAGGCAGGAUUGCUGUGAGUUCAAGGACUACCUGGGCUACUUGGGAAACUGAAAAUCCAAGACUUAACAUGACUUCCCCAAGGCCACACUGCUGGAGAAAGGAAAUCCUACGAAUUAAAUGUGUUGUCAGAAGCUGGUUUAAAAAAAGAAAAGAUGGAAGCCAGGCACAGUGGCACAAGACUUAAUCCCAGCUAUUUGGGAGGCUGAAACAGGAAGACUGACUUCAAGUCCACCAUGGGGAACGUGAUGAGACACCUUUCUCAAAAAUAGAAAGACAAGGACUGGCAUAGUGUGGUGGAUUAUAAGGCUCUUCAGGAUCAAUUUUGGAACAAUAACAAAAAGUCAUGAUAAUAAAGCAGAAAGUAAAUGAUGAAUGACCUGAAAUAAGAGUCCCAUUUAUGUAUUUAUAUUCCAGAAGAAGAAACAACAUGAAGCAUUCACAAAGGUUGCAUCUAAUACUUUUCUUUUUAUAAAAUAUCUAUGAUCACUUUUCCCUGAUUGACUGUUAGAAAAAUACUAUUUUUUUUCAUGCAAUAUCAUUAAUCAAGUGGUAGGAGUUUGAAAUGUCCACACUGCACUCAGUUAUAUAGAAUACACUUUUUUUUUUUUCCUUUUAAAUUCUGGGGAACUCAGCUCAUCUGCUCAGAUGCUUCCGUUCCACUCAUUUUUGAGUGUAGGAAGUUAACUCCCUAUCAAACUGAUCUUUGCUCUGGCUCCAGGAGUUUCCAUUCUCUUUCUGUUUCUA